rnacentral:rRNA from 1 species
GUUAUAUGGUCAAGCGAAUAAGCGCACACGGUGGAUGCCUUGGCGGUCAGAGGCGAUGAAGGACGUGGCAGCCUGCGAAAAGUAUCGGGGAGCUGGCAACAAGCUUUGAUCCGGUAAUGUCCGAAUGGGGAAACCCACCCGCUUGCGGGUAUCCUGCAGUGAAUACAUAGCUGCUGGAAGCGAACCUGGUGAACUGAAAUAUCUAAGUAACCAGAGGAAAAGAAAUCAACCGAGAUUCCGUAAGUAGCGACGAGCGAACGCGGACUAGCCCUUAAGCUGAUUUGGUUCUAGGAAAACGCUCUGGAAAGAGCGGCCAUAGAAGGUGAUAGCCCUGUAUCUGAAAGGGCCAUUUCAGUGAAGACGAGUAGGGCGGGGCACGUGAAACCCUGUCUGAACAUGGGGGGACCAUCCUCCAAGGCUAAAUACUACUGACCGACCGAUAGUGAACCAGUACCGUGAGGGAAAGGCGAAAAGAACCCCGGAGAGGGGAGUGAAAUAGAACCUGAAACCGUGUGCGUACAAGCAGUAGGAGCUCCGCAAGGAGUGACUGCGUACCUUUUGUAUAAUGGGUCAGCGACUUACUGUUCGUGGCAAGCUUAACCGUAUAGGGGAGGCGAAGGGAAACCGAGUCUGAUAAGGGCGCAUAGUCGCGGGCAGUAGACCCGAAACCGGGUGAUCUAGUCAUGCCCAGGGUGAAGGUGCGGUAACACGCACUGGAGGCCCGAACCCACUCCCGUUGCAAAGGUAGGGGAUGAGGUGUGAUUAGGAGUGAAAAGCUAAUCGAACCCGGAGAUAGCUGGUUCUCCUCGAAAGCUAUUUAGGUAGCGCCUCAUAUGUAUCCUCUCGGGGGUAGAGCACUGUUAUGGCUAGGGGGUCAUCGCGACUUACCAAACCAUUGCAAACUCCGAAUACCGAGACGGACUGUAUGGGAGACACACGGCGGGUGCUAACGUCCGUCGUGAAAAGGGAAACAACCCAGACCCACAGCUAAGGUCCCAAAUUUUGUGCUAAGUGGAAAACCAUGUGGAAAGGCACAGACAGCCAGGAGGUUGGCUUAGAAGCAGCCACCCUUUAAAGAAAGCGUAAUAGCUCACUGGUCGAGUCGGUCUGCGGGGAAGAUUUAACGGGGCUAAGCACAGAACCGAAGCUUGGGGUGCAUAACUUUGUUAUGCGCGGUAGAGGAGCGUUCCGUAAGCCGUUGAAGGUGGAUUGAGAAGUCUGCUGGAGGUAUCGGAAGUGCGAAUGCUGACAUGAGUAACGAUAAUGCGGGUGAAAAACCCGCACGCCGAAAGCCCAAGGUUUCCUUGCGCAACGUUAAUCGGCGCAGGGUGAGUCGGCCCCUAAGGCGAGGACGAAAGUCGUAGUCGAUGGGAAGCAGGUUAAUAUUCCUGCACCUCGCGUAAGUGCGAUGGAGGGACGGAGAAGGUUAGGUGUACCAGGCGUUGGUUGUCCUGGGGAAAGGCGGUAGGUUUGGAUCUUUGGCAAAUCCGGGAUCCUUCAAGACCGAGCACCGAGACGAGCCUUUAUGGCGAAGUCACUGAUACCACGCUUCCAGGAAAAGCUCCUAAGCUUCAGCUUACGCAGACCGUACCGUAAACCGACACAGGUGGGUAGGAUGAGAAUUCUCAGGCGCUUGAGAGAACUCGGGUGAAGGAACUAGGCAACAUGGCACCGUAACUUCGGGAGAAGGUGCACCCUUUUUGGUGGCUCGUGCGAGCUAUAGCUGAAGAGGGUCGCAGUAACCAGGCCGCUGCGACUGUUUAUCAAAAACACAGCACUCUGCAAACACGAAAGUGGACGUAUAGGGUGUGACGCCUGCCCGGUGCUGGAAGGUUAAUUGAUGGGGUCAGCCGCAAGGCGAAGCUCUUGAUCGAAGCCCCAGUAAACGGCGGCCGUAACUAUAACGGUCCUAAGGUAGCGAAAUUCCUUGUCGGGUAAGUUCCGACCUGCACGAAUGGCGUAACGACAGCGGCGCUGUCUCCACCCGAGACUCAGUGAAAUUGAAAUCGCUGUGAAGAUGCAGCGUUCCCGUGGCAAGACGGAAAGACCCCGUGAACCUUUACUAUAGCUUUACACUGAACGUUGAGUUCGUCUGUGUAGGAUAGGUGGGAGGCUAUGAAACUGUGGCGCUAGCUGCAGUGGAGCCAUCCUUGAAAUACCACCCUGUCGUGCUUGACGUUCUAACCUGGGCCCAUUAUCUGGGUCGGGGACCGUGUAUGGUGGGUAGUUUGACUGGGGCGGUCUCCUCCUAAAGAGUAACGGAGGAGCUCGAAGGUACGCUCAGCGCGGUCGGACAUCGCGCACUGUGUGCAAAGGCAUAAGCGUGCUUGACUGCAAGAUCGACGGAUCAAGCAGGUAGGAAACUAGGACUUAGUGAUCCGGUGGUUCUGUAUGGAAGGGCCAUCGCUCAACGGAUAAAAGGUACUCCGGGGAUAACAGGCUGAUACCGCCCAAGAGUUCAUAUCGACGGCGGUGUUUGGCACCUCGAUGUCGGCUCAUCACAUCCUGGGGCUGUAGUCGGUCCCAAGGGUAUGGCUGUUCGCCAUUUAAAGUGGUACGCGAGCUGGGUUCAGAACGUCGUGAGACAGUUCGGUCCCUAUCUGCCAUGGGCGUUGGAGAUUUGAGAGGGGCUGCUCCUAGUACGAGAGGACCGGAGUGGACGAACCUCUGGUGUUCCGGUUGUCACGCCAGUGGCAUUGCCGGGUAGCUAUGUUCGGAAGCGAUAACCGCUGAAAGCAUCUAAGCGGGAAGCGCGCCUCAAGAUGAGAUCUCCCGGGGCACAAGCCCCCUGAAGGAACCAUGUAGACUACGUGGUUGAUAGGUCAGGUGUGUAAGUACAGCAAUGUAUUGAGCUAACUGAUACUAAUGAUCCGUGCGGCUUGACCAUAUAACCU